rnacentral:SRP_RNA from 1 species
UCUGGGCAUGGUGGCACAUGCCUGUAAUCACAGCUACUCAGGAGGCUGAGGCAGGAGAAUUGCCUGAACCCAGGAGGUGGAGAUUGCGGUGAGCCGAGAUCGCGCCAUUGCACUCCAGCCUGGGUAACAAGAGCGAAACUCCGUCUCAAAAAAAAAAAGAAGUGCUCGAUGUUAGUAAAUAUUUUUUAUUUUAUUUUAUUUUAUUUUUUGAGACGGAGUUUUGCUCUUGUUACCCAGGCUGGAGUGCAAUGGCGCGAUCUCGGCUUACCGCAACCUCCGCAUCCUGGGUUCAGGCAAUUCUCCUGCCUCAG